rnacentral:rRNA from 1 species
UACGUAGGAGCGUAGGGAUGUCCGGAAUUACUGGGUGUAAAGGGCGUGUAGGAGGUUUUCUAAGUCUAUGGUGAAAUCCUGCAGCUUAACUGUAGAAUUGCCUUCGAUACUGGAGAUCUUGAGUGCGGCAGAGGGAGAUGGAAUUCAUGGUGUAGCGGUGAAAUGUGUAGAUAUCAUGAAGAACACCGGUAGCGAAGGCGGUCACCUGGUACAUAACUGACACUGAGGCGCGAAAGCGUGGGGAGCAAACAGG